rnacentral:rRNA from 1 species
GUCCACGCCGUAAACGAUGGAUGCUAGAUGUUGGGGGUAUUGACCACUCCAGCGUCGCAGCUAACGCAUUAAGCAUCCCGCCUGGGGAGUACGGCCGCAAGGCUAAAACUCAAAGGAAUUGACGGGGGCCCCGCACAAGCGGUGGAGCAUGUGGUUUAAUUCGACGCAACGCGAAGAACCUUACCUGGGUUAAAUCCGCCCGAACCUGGCAGAGAUGUCGGGGUGCCCUUCGGGGAGCGGGUGAGAAGGUGAUGCAUGGCUGUCGU